ensembl:snRNA U1 U1 spliceosomal RNA
AUACUUACCUGGCAGGGGAGAUCCAAUGAGGCUCAGCCAUUGCCUUCCUACAAUGCAGGCCCCCCUGCGAAUUUCCCAAAUGUGGGAAUCGCGACUACAUAAUUUGUGGUAGUUGGGGACUGCUUGCGUCUAGU